rnacentral:rRNA from 1 species
GACGAACGCUGGCGGCGUGCUUAACACAUGCAAGUCGAACGGAAAGGCCCUGCUUUUGUGGGGUGCUCGAGUGGCGAACGGGUGAGUAACACGUGAGUAACCUGCCCUUGACUUUGGGAUAACUUCAGGAAACUGGGGCUAAUACCGGAUAGGAGCUCCUGCUGCAUGGUGGGGGUUGGAAAGUUUCGGCGGUUGGGGAUGGACUCGCGGCUUAUCAGCUUGUUGGUGGGGUAGUGGCUUACCAAGGCUUUGACGGGUAGCCGGCCUGAGAGGGUGGCCGGCGACCUUGGGCCUGCGGUAGGGACCAGACUGCUACGGGGGGCAGUGGUGGGGAAUAUUACACAGUGGGCGGGAGCCUGUGGCAGCAACGCCGCGUGCGGGAUGCCGGCCUUCGGGUUGUGAACCGCUUUCGCCUGUGACGAAGCGUGUGUGACGGUAAUGGGUAAAUAAGCACCGGCUAACUACGUG